GCCCGCGGCCCUCCAGGCCCCCCAUCCGCCCCGCUCCGGCCUCCGCCUCUGUCGCCUCCCUCCCUCCGUGUCUCACGCAGGGACUCUGGUGCAACCCCGUCCUGAAAGCCCACAGCCGCCCAUUCCGCUGCCGCCUCGGCCCAGGCAUUCCCAGCCAGUCCAGCUCCAGCUGGACCCGUCUGCGGCCCACCCAGCCCUGCGAGGACCCGGGCCUGCCACAGCCGCCGUCUCCCUCAGAUGUCCACACGUUGUGAUGUCAGCCACCAAGCCUCAGCUCUGCACAGCGCGGGCUCGGGCGUGAGCAGGCCCCCUUCCCUGCUCUGUGUUCCAUUUUGUCCACCUCUCGUCCUGCAGGGAUCAUCCGCAAGGACCUUCUCUGUGAAGUGCCCCCGGGGGGGCACCUGUGCUGGGCGCACUUUGUCUUCAUUCCAAGGUUCCUGUGUCUCAGGCUUCCGGGGCCCUGCACCAGUCUCUGGAGGCUCUGGCAGCACUGGGCCUGCCCCGGGAUGAGCACUCUGGGAUGGCCGAGCAGCACCGCCGGGGCAGAGGUAAAGUUUCCGACACGGGACACAUGGGGGCACAUUCCGGGCACGCACCUGUGCACCGGCGCCCCCGGGGUUUCGGGCCCAGAAGGCUCCCUGCAGAGACGCCAGCUCUGAGCAAACCAGUGCGUUCGGUCAGCACAGCCAGCCACCUGCUGGGGGUCCCCAUCACCUGCCAGUCACCUCAGACUUUUGCAGGGUCCCCACCUCGCUGUGCAGGUUAAGAGAAGAUACCCAAGCGCAGGCCGCCUCUCCAGCGCCCUCCUUCUGCAGGUCCUCCAGCGCGGCCCCAAAAGCGCACCUCGGGCCAAACUGCACCACAUCCUUGUCAAGGCUUAAAACCAGCUCCUGGGACUGGGCCUGGGACCUGUGAUCAGGGCCCCACGAACUUCCCUUCCCUCUUGGGACUUGAUAUCUGUGGCACCUUCUUGGCCUCUGUUUUUGACUCCAUCCUUUCAAAAGCUGAAGGAAAUGAGGGUUCUUACCAAGCCUUUCUCCCAGUUUACCUCAAAAUGCAGGGCAACUGUGUCCCUUGGAAUGUUCCUGGAAGAGAACUCAAGACAGCCAGGAGAUAGAAAAGUCAGUCAGGUGAGGCGGCUUUGAAAUGAAACAAGUCUGUGCAGUGACGAGUUCCAGACCGCCCUACAGUCUUGCUUGGCAGGUAGAGAUGCAUCCCCGAUAGCGCGCCAGAUGUCACACCUGCUCUUCCAAGACAUUUGCUUUUAUCUUCAGCAGCUCCGAUGGAAGCGAUACGGAGAAAAGACUGCAGCCUUGUUUCAGCAGGGACUAGAGUGUUUGUCUCCCGACACGGGAGAGGAGCAGAUCAUCUGAGUGCUUCCAGUCUAGGGCUUAACAGAUUGUUAAAAAAAAUCAAAUACGUUAAAACAAAACAAUACGAAACAAAAGCACAGAGAGGCAGUCACACAUUUUGCAAUCACUUGUGUCAGGGAAAUAACACGCUCCUGAUCUAAGAACCAAAAGCCAUCUAAAACAAGGUGCCCGGUUUGACUCCUCCAGGAGAAAAACAAAGGCAUCCAGAAAUUAGCUACCAGUUUUUCAGAACGCAGUCACUUGGCACCUCUCACGGUGAUAAGCUCCUCCGAGACUCAUUUUUGCCAGAAGUGGCAACCUCUUCCCAGGCAGGGGUCUGAGCAGCUCCCCACCCCUUCCUCCUCGCUCUUCCUGUCCACUCCUCAGCCCUGGUGGGACUUUCUGGCUUGGCCAAUGUGAGUGCUGAGGCUCCUUGGCAAGUCACACAAACCAACUGCAAAGCGGCUCCAGCGACACAGCACGGCCCCAGGAGCUCAGAAGCACUAAUGCUCCAACCUCCCUCCAGACGUUUGCCAGGACCUGGAAUCUGCUCCCAUCACCUUCUCAGCACCCUUUUAGCUCAGAACCCCACGAGGGAGACUGAUCCAUCUCACAAGCUCCUCUCGUGGCAGUCCACCCCUGUCAGGGCCCCCUGACAGGCGGCUCCUGCGGUCAGGGUUUCCCGGAGAAGUGUGCAGCGGGCCGGCCGGCCAGGCAAGGCAGGACUCGGUCGCUUCACACCACUGGGUUUUGGGUAGUGGCUGCGGCAAGCGUGGGGCCUGUCCUGCGUGCAUUGCUUCCAGCAGAGGAGCCCUAUGCUUAGGAGCUGAGAGAUCACAUGGUUUUUUCAGGGCUGAGGUCGGGCGGGGUUGUGGUGGUUUUCCCUGCCUGCCAUAAUAAAUUUUCCCAAACUCAGUGGUUCAAGGCAGCAUAAAUAUACUGUCUUUCAGUUCUAUAGGUAAGAACUCUCAUGCAGGUCUCACUGGCUUUCUUUGAGGAGACUCCAGGGUACAGAACCUGCUUCCUGGCCUUUUCUAGCCUCUGAGCCAUCGGCUUACGGCCCCCACCUCCACUUCAGAGCCAGGAAUAUUACGUCUUUCUUGGAAGCUUCUUCUGUCACCGCCACUCCCUCGCUCUGACCACAGAUGGUGAAGAUUCUCUGCUUUGAGGAGUCAUGUGACCAGAUUGGGCCAACCCAGAUUUUUGAGGACAAACACCCCAUCUCAAAUAUUUAACUUUAAUCACAUCUUCAAAGGGUCCUGUUUUGGGUUGAAUAAUUCAGAUGUUGAAAUCCUAACCUCCAGAAUGUGACCUUAUUUGGAAAUAGGGUUUUUGCAGAUGCAAUUAGCCAAGAUAAGAUCUUAAACUGGGCCCUAAUCCAACAACUGGUGUCCUUUAGAAAAUGGAGAAAUUGGGACAUAGACCUAGAAAAAGACACUGUGGAAAGAUACAGGGAGAAGACCGUCAUCUACAAGACAAAGGGAGAGACCAGGAACAGAUCCUUCCCUCACAGCCCAAAGGAGGAACGAAUGCUGCCAACUCUCCGGAGCUGUGACACAAGAAAUUCCUGUGAUUUGAGCCAUCUAGUUCAUGGUACUUUGUAACACUAGUUACUAACACGGCCUGUUUGCCUUGUCAGGUAGCAUAUUCACGGGUUCUGGGGAUUGUAUCAUGGGCAUCUUUGGGCAGGGAGGGGCAUUACUGGGCCUACCACCGAGUUAGAUGGCGGCUCUUCACCAGAGUGAUCAUUUCAUUUUGUAUUGGUUUGUGCUCAGUAGCCCCUUUCUACCGUAAGUUACAGAAUGCACUGGACCAUAGGUCUGUGCUUCUCAGCUCCCCUGCCAGAACAAGAACACACUCAAAACAGUGGGUCUGCGGAUGGCAGCACUGCCCAGGUUCAGGCAUGCUGUAGACCACAGUGAAAGGUGCUAGCGUUUUCUGUCAUGUUUUAGGUGAACAGUUUUUGUGUUUGCAAAAUCUAAUAAGAUGGACAUUGUUAGCCACGUUCACAGAACCUAUCGAAACAUGUGUACCAUUGUACCUUCCACUGUGAAUUCACCCUAAGUUCCCUCCCUUAGCCCACAGUGAGCAAGGGUUCUUCACGGCCUUUUGAACCAGCUCCUUCAUCCCCAAGUGGUCCAGUCGGAAGUCGGCAAGGACCCCUCCCUGUGGGUGCCGGGCUGCCUGCUGGUUCAAGCCAGAUGCCAGACGGCAGGAUGUGCGGUAACGUAACAGUUAAUGAGGCAUGAAGACAGUGUCACAGAGUGAAAGUGUCAGUGUUAAUGAGGUGACAGGCUGUGCUCACUACAUGUGCUCCAUGUCCCCUCCACGGCCCCACCCCGGUCCACGUGCUCUCACUCGGAUCAUGACACUGCCCUAGACGGUUCCUUGUCUUCUGUCGUUUUCACCCUCUAGUUUUUCGGAAUCAGGAAAGAUGAAAGUGUCGCAUGGAGCCUUGAUCGGAUAAUACCGUUCAUCUGCUCAGGCUCAGAGACAUCAGUGACUCCCCACAACCCACGGAUUCAGUUUCUGACGCUGGCACAGGAGUUCUAGCCUGCUUUCCCAACCUCGUUAUUCAUGGCUCCAUACACUCCGGAAUCUAUUCUAAUUUUUCCCAAAAUAUAGUCCGUGAGCACCAGAAUUAGUGUCACCCGGGAGUGCUUGUGAAAAAUCUGAGUCCUACUGACUCCGAAUCGUUUAACAAGCACUUGAAGCCGUUCUGUGCACACUCUGGCUGGGGAGCCCUUGUCUACAGCCUCACGCUCCUGCCCUUCUAUUUCACCUGCUCUUCUCCUCAUCCACCGCUUCAAGACAUUGUUCGCAUCGCAUCUUCUCCUUAUCCUAAGCUGGAUAAAUCUCCCUCCUAUCCCUGUGCUCUUAGCCCUUUACACAGCUCUUCACACACAGCUUUGUUUACAAUGUUUGCUGUAGAUCUGACUCUCCGGCUGAUUUUGAAUUCAUUACCACCAGGAACUGUGUCUUUACCCUUUUCUCUCCAUGUAACUCUACCAUUUCUCUGUUUCUGACACAGGAAUUUGUAACUGGCCACUUUUUACCUUCCCCUUUUCUGCCACUUAAUGUACUUAGAAUAAAAAAAUACAGCUCACGCAUCACAAUUAUGAAGACUUCCAUUGGCCAAGUGUGUCCUCCUUUCCCCCAGGACUUGACCUAUUUUAAUUUAUGUUUCCCCUGCUCUGGGUUUUAAAAGCUUGCAUUUGGAUUGUUUUAUUUUAUAUGUUUGUGCUACAAGCUGCCUCAGAUCCUUUCUGGAACAAGAUAGGAGAGAAAUAAAUUAUUCAUUUCAGUAUUCCUACCACCCUGGACGAUGUCUGGCAGAUAGAAAAUACUCAAUAACUGUUUGUUGAAUUUAAUCAAAGGAAUAAACUUAUGUGGAUUCUGC